CAGGAAGAGGAGGAAGCCCUGGAGGGGCUGGAGGUGAUGGAUGUUUUCCUCCGGUUCUCAGGGCUCCACCUCUU
ensembl:miRNA MIR671 microRNA 671